rnacentral:rRNA from 1 species
GACGAACGCUGGCGGCGUGGAUUAGGCAUGCAAGUCGAACGGUAUCAUCCUUUCGGGGGUGAGAGAGUGGCGAACUGGUGAGUAACACGUAGGUUAUCUACCCUCAAGACGGGGACAACCCAGGGAAACUUGGGCUAAUACCGGAUGUGAGCAACUUUUAGUUGUUUGAAAGGUGGCGUAAGCUGUCGCUUGGGGAUGAGCCUGCGUCCUAUUAGUUAGUUGGUGAGGUAACGGCUCACCUAGGCAAUGAUAGGUAGGCGGCCUUAACGGGUGGUCGCCCACACUGGGAUUGAGAUACGGCCCAGACUCCUACGGGAGGCAGCAGUCGAGAAUAGUCUACAAUGGUCGGAAGACUGAUAGUGCGACGCCGCGUGAACGAUGAAUCCCUUCGGGGUGUAAAGUUCUUUUAUAUGUGAGCAGUGCUUCUUAUAUUAACAGUAUGGGGAGAGAGAUAUUAGCAUAUAGAAUAAGCAACGGCUAACUCCGUGCCAGCAGCCGCGGU